GAACACUCUGUCUCUCACGCUCUCUCACAUCCACAGAAACUCUCUCUCCUCUCAUCAUCCCUCACCGCGCCGUCUCACACUCUCUCACCUAUCUCCGGCGACUGCUACCGCCAUCUCCUCAUCCGGCGACCGCCACGCCUUUCAUCUCUCUCUCUCUCUCUAUCAGCAGACGGCUCGACAGAUAGGAGUGCGGCCUCGCGACGAUAGCAGCGGCGCCCGGCCGUCUCCGGCAGUGCGGUCAACACCACCCCUCACCUCACCACUCCCUCGGACCCUCGUUCUCUCCGUUUGUCGGUCGGGCCCGGGUAGCAUCGGCAAGAAGGAGAGUUCUGUUCUUCCAACCAAUUAUGUUCUUCCAGCCGAUUUUACACAACUUCGUUACUUCUCUCUGGUAUAGUCUGCUCUUCCAACCAAUUUGUGAAAUGGAUUCUUCAAGUUCUGUUCAUGGUGAUGGUGAUACAAAUGAAAAUGAUAAUGAGAAGGAGAGUUCUAGCUGUUGGCCUUUGUGGAAAUAUGUAGAGAAGCAAUUGAAAAUUGGUAGAGGGGGUGGAAAUACAAAAUUUUGUUGUAUUUUGGUAAAGGGAGAAGGAGAAGGACCAAAUAAUUCUUAGAAGUGGAAUGUUAAUAGGUGAGCUAGUGUCUAUCUUAUUUUGUUGUAUUUUGUUUUCAGUUAGUUUUUACAUUUUGUUGUUAGGUAAUUCCUUUUAUUUUGUGUUUGUUGUAGUCUUAAACUCUUUUGUUUGAUUUAAUUGGAUCUUUGAACUUUG
rnacentral:lncRNA from 1 species